AUUGAACGCUGGCGGCAGGCCUAACACAUGCAAGUCGAGCGAGCGGCGGACGGGUGAGUAAUGCUUAGGAAUCUGCCUAUUAGUGGGGGACAACAUCCCGAAACGGAUGCUAAUACCGCAUACCAUCAGAUGUGCCCAGGUCGGAUUAGCUAGUAGGUGGGGUAACGGCGCACCUAGGCGACGAUCCCUAGCUGGUCUGAGAGGAUGAACAGCCACACGGGAACUAAGACACGGUCCAGACUCCGACGGGAGGCAGCAGUGGGGAAUAUUGGACAAUGGGCGAAAGCCUGAUGCAGCCAUGCCGCGUGUGUGAAGAAGGCCUUCGGGUUGUAAAGCACUUUCAGCGGGGAGGCGUUACCAGCAGAAGAAGCACCGGCUAACUCCGUGCCAGCAGCCGCGGUAAUAC
rnacentral:rRNA from 1 species